rnacentral:rRNA from 1 species
CAGUAGCCGCGGUAAUACGAAGGGGGCUAGCGUUGCUCGGAAUCACUGGGCGUAAAGGGUGCGUAGGCGGGUCUUUAAGUCAGGGGUGAAACCCUGGAGCUCAACUCCAGAACUGCCUUUGACACUGAAGAUCUUGAGUUCGGGAGAGGUGAGUGGAACUGCGAGUGUAGAGGUGAAAUUCGCAGAUAUUCGCAAGAACACCAGUGGCGAAGGCGGCUCACUGGCCCGAUACUGACGCUGAGGCACGAAAGCGUGGGGAGCAAACAGGAUUAGAUACCCGUGUAGUCCCUGUCUCUUAUAC